rnacentral:lncRNA from 1 species
CGAUGACCUCUCAUCCUAUCUUGCUUCCUGACCCUUUUGUUUUUUAGCAAUCAUCCUCUUCCAGUGGUAGCGUGUUUGGGUCUGGAAACACUGGAAGAGGGGGAGGUUUCUUCAGUGGCCUUGGAGGAAAACCCAGUCAGGAUGCAGCCAACAAAAACCCAUUCAGCUCGGCCAGUGGGGGCUUUGGAUCCACAGCUACCUCAAAUACCUCUAACCUAUUUGGAAACAGUGGGGCCAAGACAUUUGGUGGAUUUGCCAGCUCGUCGUUUGGAGAGCAGAAACCCACUGGCACUUUCAGCUCUGGAGGAGGAAGUGUGGCAUCCCAAGGCUUUGGGUUUUCCUCUCCAAACAAAACAGGUGGCUUCGGUGCUGCUCCAGUGUUUGGCAGCCCUCCUACUUUUGGGGGAUCCCCUGGGUUUGGAGGGGUGCCAGCAUUCGGUUCAGCUCCAGCCUUUACAAGCCCUCUGGGCUCGACGGGAGGCAAAGUGUUCGGAGAGGGCACUGCGGCUGCCAGCGCAGGAGGAUUCGGGUUUGGGAGCAGCAGCAACACCACAUCCUUCGGCACGCUCGCGAGUCAGAAUGCCCCCACUUUCGGAUCACUGUCCCAACAGACUUCUGGUUUUGGGACCCAGAGUAGCGGAUUCUCUGGUUUUGGAUCAGGCACAGGAGGAUUCAGCUUUGGAUCAAAUAACUCGUCUGUCCAGGGUUUUGGUGGCUGGCGAAGCUGAGGGCAUGUCAGCAGGCCUUUCGAUCCCUGGGACCAACCGCAUCCUCACCUUCUUCCCCGAGAAAUGCUGGAGCAGGCUGUUCAGACCGACGUUGCCAUCAAAACACAUACACCCAGAAAGAAACAACAGAAACCAAAACUCACGAGACGCAUGAUUACUUGUUUUAUAUUUCAUGUUGGGUUUUCCCUGCCACUAUUAAACUGUCUGUUUCCGUACAGAACGUAUGUGGGUUUUUUCAGAUCACAGCCAAGAAGAUUGCCCCGUUUCUGUGGCUCUGAGAAGCCAGCAGAGCCUCCAUCAGCCAGAACACUGUGUCUUCAAGGAUGGCAUCAGAAGUCACCAGCGUCGGGUGUUGAUAAACAGCAUCGAAUGUGCCGUGGUCUCACUUGGACCUAGCGCCCUCCACAUAGGGAAGAGGUUGCAUGCUGGUGGGUCAUCUUUUUGAGGCCGAAACUUGGUUAUCUCCUCUCCAUGUUCUUUUUGCCAUUGUGUAUCAGGACCAUCCAAGGACGCACUCUGCAAUUGAGUGGAGGCAGAGGAAGCCACUCAUGCCAGCAGCAGUUGAGUUUCAGAAGCAGCCAUAGCGCUUUUCAGUACAGUACAAUAGUAGCCAGCAUGAGGCAGGACAGUGCUGCGCCUUAGCCGGCCUUGUCCCCUCAUCUCCAUGUGGCUCUUGGGUGCCGUGUGUCCUACUCCAGAGAGGAGGGGGCCAGUUACUUGAGAAGACAGCCUUUAUAUUCUGUAUGUGGCAGUGACAUUGGUAGCCACACCUACCCAGUGUCUACUAACCACAGUGCAGAUAGCCCUUGGGUAGACCCAGGAAGUGUGAAGACACUGCUGUUGCCAGACAACACUAGCAGAACGAUGCUGGAUUUGACAACAGUGUUUGCUAGGACGGCCCAGAGCUCAUCACUGCAGUUUUAUUAGAGUGCUUCUUUAUCUUUAAUGCAGUAUCUUUGAGGCCUGUAACAUCCUAGAUAGUUGCCAUCAAACAAGGACCGUCUCGCAUUGAAAACAGAUGUAAGAAUUUCUCUUUCAGGCCCAGAAUCUGACUGCUUUGGCUUGGGUCAUGAGCAGCGGGGAGUUGGGAAGAGAUUUUUUUUUUUUAGAGUUUUACAUAUUGG